rnacentral:rRNA from 1 species
UACGAAGGGGGCUAGCGUUGUUCGGAAUUACUGGGCGUAAAGCGCACGUAGGCGGAUUUGUAAGUCAGGGGUGAAAUCCCGGGGCUCAACCUCGGAACUGCCUUUGAUACUGCAAGUCUCGAGUCCGAUAGAGGUGAGUGGAAUUCCUAGUGUAGAGGUGAAAUUCGUAGAUAUUAGGAAGAACACCAGUGGCGAAGGCGGCUCACUGGAUCGGUACUGACGCUGAGGUGCGAAAGCGUGGGGAGCGAUCCGG